AAAAUUUAAUAUAUUAUAUGGUAGAGAUAUGUGAUAAU
rnacentral:guide_RNA from 1 species